rnacentral:rRNA from 1 species
UACGGGGGGGGGCGAGCGUUGUUCGGAAUUACUGGGCGUAAAGGGCGCGUAGGCGGUCUGCUAAGUUGGAUGUGAAAACUCUGGGCUUAACCCAGAGCCUGCAUUCAAAACUGACAGGCUAGAGUUCUGGAGGGGAUAGCGGAAUUCCUGGUGUAGCGGUGAAAUGCGUAGAUAUCAGGAGGAACACCGGUGGCGAAGGCGGCUAUCUGGACAGAAAACUGACGCUGAGGCGCGAAAAGCUAGGGGGAGCAAAACAGG